rnacentral:lncRNA from 1 species
AUGGGGCGUGUUACCAGUACACUGACAGACAACCACCACCAUCUUCUGCCACGCACAUAUACCCCUUUCCUAGGACGUUUACAAUUUCAGUCUCAAAUUCAUCACUGUGAAGAAGUCUUCUCUCUGAAUAAGAAUAGAGAUGGUAACACACCUGAGACUAUACUCUGUAGGAAACUUUUGGCACAGGAUUCAAACAUUGAGAAGAAGAAGAAGAAGAAGAAGAAGAAGAAGAAGAAGAAGAAGAAGAGAAGAAGAAGAAGAAGAAGAAGAAGAAGAGGAAGAAGGGGAAGAAAUCAAGCCGGCCAGGCCAGAUCCAGUAGAGAGGCAAACGUGGGCGUGGAUUUCGGAAGAAAGAUGCUGAAGAUCCCUGCCUGGACGGACACGCACACAAAAGCAUCCACUAUCCAGCACCACCAGCACCACCCUGAAGAAGGGAAGAGAAAGAAAGAAAAACCAACUCCAGGGUGCAGGCCGGCCUGCUUCCGGCAGUCUAAAAGCAGACUGACCGCCAUUCUCUCCUUCCCCACCCCCCUAGCCCCGGUGCCCAGCGCGACGCCAAGCUCAACCUGGAUCUGUUCUGAAUGGGGGGAAAGUGAAAUGCCACAAGAUCAGUAGCAAGUAGCAGCUG